rnacentral:tRNA from 1 species
GCGUCGGUGGUUCAGUGGUAAAAUUCUUGCCUGCCACGCGGGUGACCCGGGUUCAAAUCCCGGCUGACGCA